rnacentral:lncRNA from 1 species
UGAGUCUCCAUGUGUGAGGUUGUUUUCAGUGCCUAGCCUGAUAUUUGUUUGUAACAUGAAUAUAAACCCAGAGACAGAGAUGUUGGGGCUCAAGCUUCAAGCUGAAGCUCAGAAAAGCAAAGCAGCCAGCCACUAGCUCUUACUAAGCCUGAAAUGGCCAUCCUGCCUCCACAAAUUAUCAGACUGCAAUGCAGACCGCACUGCUCUCCACUGAGCCUCAGACUGCAAUUGCUCAGUUCCUGUUUCCUCCUGCCUUAUAUUCCAGCCAUAUCAUCCUAUUUCCAGCUUCCGAGUUCUGGGAUUAAAGAUCUAGGUUGAAAUCCUCAACUCGAUUGAAGUCAGUACUGGAAGCUCUGGUUGGAGUGUCAGUUGAAACGGAGUAAGUUGGAUCCAGUGCAGUCUAGGGGUUAUGGCCCAAUUUUUUUUCCGGAGCAUCCAGGGAUUGCUGUCAGGCGGGUCUUCAUUGGCUGUGUGGGACUCAAACGGCUUCUCUGUAGCUUUGGAGCCUGUCCUGGAAUUCUCCCUGUAGACCAGACUGGCCUUGAACUCACAGAGACCUGCCUACCUCUGCCUCCCGAGUGCUGGGAAUGAAAGCAUGUGCUGCCAAGGCCCGGUGUAUCUAAAAGUUUUAAAGAAAAUGUGGAGUUGGAAAGAUGUCCC